rnacentral:tRNA from 1 species
GGAGAGAUAGCGAAGAGGCUAAACGCGGCGGACUGUAAAUCCGCUCCUUCGGGUUCGGGGGU